rnacentral:rRNA from 1 species
CCUACGGGGGGCAGCAGUAGGGAAUCUUCCACAAUGGACGAAAGUCUGAUGGAGCAACGCCGCGUGAGUGAAGAAGGGUUUCGGCUCGUAAAGCUCUGUUGGUAGUGAAGAAAGCUAGAGGUAGUAACUGGUCUUUAUUUGACGGUACUUUCUUAGAAAGUGACGGCUAACUACGUGCCAGCAGCCGCGGUAAUACGUAGGUGGCAAGCGUUGUCCGGAUUUCUUGGGCGUAAAGCGAGUGCAGGCGGGUCAAUAAGUCUGAUUUGAAAGCCUUCGGCUCAACCGGAGAAUUGCAUCAGAAACUGUUGAACGUGAGUGCAGAAGAGGAGAGUGGAACUCCAUGUGUAGCGGUGGAAUGCGUAGAUAUAUAGAAGAACACCAGUGGCGAAGGCGGCUCUCUGGUCUGCAACUGACGCUGAGGCUCGAAAGCAUGGGUAGCGAACAGGAUUAGAUACCCCAGUAGUC